rnacentral:rRNA from 1 species
AUUGACGCUGGCGGCAGGCUUAACACAUGCAAGUCGAACGAGUGGCGGACGGGUGAGUAAUGUCUGGGAAACUGCCCGAUGGAGGGGGAUAACUACUGGAAACGGUAGCUAAUACCGCAUACCAUCGGAUGUGCCCAGAUGGGAUUAGCUAGUAGGUGGGGUAACGGCUCACCUAGGCGACGAUCCCUAGCUGGUCUGAUAGGAUGACCAGCCACACUGGAACUGAGACACGGUCCAGAUUCCUACGGGAGGCAGCAGUGGUGAAUAUUGCACAAUGGGCGCAAGCCGGAUGCAGCCAUGCCGCGUGUGUGAAGAAUGCCUUCGGGUUGUAAAGCACUUUCAGCGAGGAGGCGUUACGCGCAGAAGAAGCACCGGCUAACUCAGUGCCAGCAGCCGCGGUAAUAC